CCUACGGGAGGCAGCAGUGGGGAAUAUUGCACAAUGGGGGAAACCCUGAUGCAGCGACGCCGCGUGAGUGAAGAAGUAAUUCGUUAUGUAAAGCUCUAUCAGCAGGGGAGAAAAUGACGGUACCUGUGUAAGAAGCCGCGGCUAACUACGUGCCAGCAGCCGCGGUAAGACGGAGGGGGCAAGCGUUAUCCGGAUUUACUGGGUGUAAAGGGAGCGUAGACGGCAGUGCAAGUCUGGAGUGAAAGGCGGGGGUUCAACCCCCGGACUGCUCUGGAAACUGUACGGCUGGAGUGCAGGAGAGGUAAGUGGAAUGCGUGGUGUAGCGGUGAAAUGCGUAGAUAUUGGGAGGAACACCAGUGGCGAAGGCGGCAUACUGGACUGUAACUGACGUUGAGGCACGAAAGCGUGGGGAGCAAACAGGAUUAGAUACCCGGGUAGUC
rnacentral:rRNA from 1 species